rnacentral:rRNA from 1 species
UUUUAGGUGUUUUAUAUAUAUAUAAAAUGAGUAAUAGAAAGGGGUUAGAAGUAUUUCUAAUGUUAAGGUUGACAUCUUGCGAGAUUAGUAAAGACUUUCAGAAGCGAAAGCGUCUAACUAUAAAUUACUGUCGCUGACGAACGAAAGCAGGGGGAGCAAACA